GCCAAUGAGCCGUCUCGGCCAAAAACGUGACAUCACGUUAUAUGAGGAAAUAGCAAGCAUUUUUGAAACGAUCUAUUUGAGAUACAACUCAAAGGAAAUAAGGUUAUCUUGUCUGAUCCCAGUCCGUCUUGCAACUCAAACCACAUUCAGGGCCGCUUUCACCACCAGUGACAACAUGGCAAUGCCAAUGGAACUUGAGCUGAAGCAUGUGGAGCUGAGAGCUGGAGACCAGUUCAAAGUACAGGGGAGGAUUAUGGAUUAGAAUGAUUAGAAUGAGGUUCCAGAUCGACCUGGCACUGCACUUUAACCCACGUUUCAAUGAUGACACUGAUGGCACUGUGCUCGUGUGCAACUCAAAGAUUGCCGGCUGCUGGGGGGAUGAGAAGAGAGAGAUCCACAAUCCACUCCAACGGGGUUCUAUAUUCAAGGUGUGAAAAUGGAGGUUGGAAAGAUGGAGGGAGGUGGGUUUGAUCCUGACUAGACAAACGGAGAAUCUUGGGCAGUGUUUCAGGUGUUCAAUAUAACAGAAACAAUUAGGGCCUAUGUCCAUGUAAUCUCCUGCUAGUAUCGUUUUAAGGAAACUAGUGCCAAUACACUGCACAGUCUUUAGUCCAGCUUGUUCGUUGCAAUUGGCCAUGUGGGUGAAUGUGCUACAACACUAAUGAUGUAAACAAAUGGGGUUUCUCCCUCUCAAGAUUGUACUGAAGCUGAUGGGCGACAUGUUUGAAGUGGAGAUGCCUGAUAGACAGGAGAUCCAGUUCCCCAAUCGUGAGGGCCUAGACGUCAUUACCUACAUUCGUAUCAAAGGAGACCUCAAACUUAUUUCUUUCAAAAUCUACUACUAUGAGGGGUGAUUUAGUUUGCUUCUGUCCUAACCCAUUGAUCUAUUACAUUUAUCAAAUCAUUGUUAUAAUAUAUGUAUUAGUGAACUGUUGGACAUAUUAAAUAUGUAUUUGGGUU